UGGGCGUGUUUACCUUGAUCAUCUCUUAUUGUUUUUUUUCUUCCAGUAUGUUCUUUUUGUAGCUUCAAAUGAAUGGAAGGCUGAAGGGUGAUAUAAGAAAUUAUUAUGGUAGUCACGAGGACAUCAGGCAAGAGGUAAUUGGUUUCAAGUGCCAUUAAUCAGACUGUAUCUAUUGUUUCAUACGAAUCCAUAUUGUUUAUGAC
rnacentral:lncRNA from 1 species